UACGGGGGGGGCAAGCGUUGUUCGGAAUUACUGGGCGUAAAGGGCUCGUAGGCGGCCAACUAAGUCGGAUGUGAAAUCCCCAGGCUUAACCUGGGAAUUGCAUCCGAUACUGGAUGGCUUGAAUCCGGGAGAGGGAUGCGGAAUUCCAGGUGUAGCGGUGAAAUGCGUAGAUAUCUGGAGGAACACCGGUGGCGAAGGCGGCAUCCUGGACCGGCAUUGACGCUGAGACGCGAAAGCGUGGGGAGCGAACAGG
rnacentral:rRNA from 1 species